CUUCCUCACUCUCUGCUCUCCAGCCACCCAAGACACCACUCAAGACUGGGACUGCCUUGGGGUUUUACAACAUCAGCUAUCCUUUGGGGGAAGCGAAGAGUGUCCCAGCUGGCUUCUGAGGACCAGCUGUCAACUUCAUCCAUGCUCUAUGCGGGUUCCCUUCCUGACAUCUACUGUUCUGGAAACCUCACUGUUGGCUCCCCACUUAUCGGAUGUCCUGUCUGAGGAACUGGCUGGGCACAUACCUCUCUGCUGGAGACUACAUGUUCCAAUUUGCCUUGCAACUGAUGAAGCCAUAUGGUUUCCUUCUGGCCAAUGGGACAUGAAUAAAAGAAAUGGUGCACAUCUCAGUCCAUGCCUCAGGUGACAGGGUGGGAACAUAGGGCCCCUCACCUGCCUACACCAGCUAGACCUUUGAGAUAUCUUAAAUCAGCACCCUAGAACCUGCAGAAACAAGCAACAAAAGAGGGGCCUGUGUGCCCUACACUACAGCCACCACGUGAAGUCAGCCUGCUUACUUUCAGGCUGUUAAA